AUAUCUCUCUGUACGGGAAGGAUGAGAAGCUUCGACUAAGGUUCGAUUCGAGCGCAGCGAGAAAGCGUUGCCGUAGGCA
rnacentral:sRNA from 1 species